GAGACCCGUGCCCACUGUUACCAGCAUGUCCUCCGGGACGAUGGGUACUCUGUGGGGACCGCCGAUGUUAAAUCGGAGGAAGGUGCGGGCUACGGUAGGUCAGUAUGCCCCGAAUUUCCCGGGCUACACGCGGGCUACAAUGAAUGGGACAAUGGGUCCCUACCCCGAGAGGGGUUGGUAAUCUCCCAAACCCAUCCGUAGUUCGGAUCGAGGGCUGUAACUCGCCCUCGUGAAGCUGGAAUCCGUAGUAAUCGCGUUUCAAUAUAGCGCGGUGAAUAC
rnacentral:rRNA from 1 species